UACGUAGGUGGCGAGCGUUGUCCGGAUUUACUGGGCGUAAAGGGCGUGCAGGCGGUUUGUUAAGUGCAGGGUGAAAGCUCCCGGCUCAACUGGGAGAGGUCCUUGCAUACUGGCGAACUCGAGGGAGGCAGAGGAAAGUGGAAUUCCCGGUGUAGUGGUGAUAUGCGUAGAUAUCGGGAGGAACACCAGUGGCGAAGGCGGUUACCUGGAGCUUGCUGACGCUGAUGCGCGAAAGCGUGGGGAGCGAUCCGG
rnacentral:rRNA from 1 species